CGUAGUAUAAACUAACAUAUUUCAUUCCUUCUAACAAAUUAUAUUUCUAUUAAUUAAUAUAAUAAUCUGUUAAUUACCAUAUGAUUAACCAAAAAAUAAAAUAUAAAAGCAAAGGGGAAUUCAAAAUGUGAGAUCCUUCCGUUGUCCGCUCCUAACGGAUAUCUAAAUCAAUUCAAAUUAGCUUCUUCUUCUUCAUUCUUUUUCUUGAAGAAUAAGUUUCUUCUUCCUUCUCUUGAAGAACAGAGCGAUGAAUAAUCAGUGGCGAAGAGACGAGCAAUGGCAGCGAAUUCAUCGGAAAAUCGAAUCAUACAACUGUUACUGCUCGAUUUCUCAUUCCUCCGAACUCGAGGAAUCAUAAUCAUCCAGAAAAGAGAGCAUUCAAAGUGAUUCUGGCUUUCCACAAUCUAUGAUGAUAUCUUCCAAGCCUUUAAAGAGAAACAGAUGUGAUUAGGAAACUGAUUACGUUGCACGGGGAACUCCACAGCAAGUUCCAGGUUGUUCGUGGACGAUUGGCGCUAUGGAAAGAGAUAUCUACAAAUUUACUUUCUAUUGGAGUCGAUCGAAGUCCUGGACAGUAGUGUAAAACUCUCUGGGCUUUUUUGGUUCAAAAGUAUGAGGCAAGGAAAAAGGAAAGGCUUUCCACAUAUUCCAUCCAUCGGGCAUGCGCGCUAUAUGAUUUGACUGGCAUGUUGAGGUAAACUUCUAAUAUCUUUC